GCGCAGUGCCGGGCCGGCCGGCGCGGGCCAGGCGCCGCGUGGGGAGGGGCCUCGAUACCGCCUGCAGCGAGUGCGCCGAGAGCUUCCCCCAGAAAGCGUCGCUGGAGGAGCACCAGCGCCGGCACACCCAGCAACGGCCCUUCCAGUGCCACGGCUGCACCAAGAGCUUCCGGCACCGGCAGUCGCUGAACCACCACCAGAAGGUGCACGCCGUGGCCGGCUCCCCGGCCGGCAGCUUGCCGGGACACAAGCGGGAGCUGGAGCCCUGCGAGGCUCUGGGCCAGGACAGUCGGUAGCCAGAGGGAUGGAGGAGGGAAGGCAGCUGGGGUCACAUCGCCCAGGGACUUGUGGCACCGCCGGGGGCUCCAGGAGGAGGAAGGAUGUGCUGCGUGGGCAGGGAAAGGCCCCCAGGGACUGGUCACGAGGCAGCAGAGGAGGGUCAGUGGCUGGAACCGAGCCAGGCGGUGCCGCUGCCCCGUGGAUUCAGGGGAGGAGUGGCUGUGUUGGGUCUCGGGGAAUGGUGGAAUUCAGGGUUGUUUGAACACUGCCAGCCUGGACAGAGGUGGCCUGGGAGUGGUCGCUGGCCUGGGGCUGGUUGAUGAUCUGGGAGUGGUCAGUGUCCCCAGGGUGGUUGGUGGCCCAGGGCUUGUCAGUGGCCUGGAUACACUGCGGGGGGCUGGGCUGCGGUUGGAAUCAGUGGAUGAACCAGGAAGAGACUUGGAUAAAAGACUCGUGGUCUCCUGUUGUGCUCCAGGGGGUGGGCUCGGGGUGAGCUUGGGAGGUCAGAGGGAUGGGGGUCACCACCUUCCUUGGGGGGAGGGAGGGAGGAAUGUGUAGCUGCCUGAUGGGAAUUUGGAAUGGUCCCACAAGAAUCCCCCACAGAAUCCUCUGUAGGAUCUGGGCACCACGGGACUCCCUGGCAGUGCUGAGGGACUGCCCCCUGCCCAUGGCAUCUCCCUGCCCAUGGCAUCCAAGGCUCCUCCAUCCCCUGCCCUUCCCUGCUCCCCUCGGCCGCUCAUCCUUCUGCCUGCGGAGGCUUCGUCCUUCCUGCCUGGGGUCCCAGGGGCUCCAUAGGGAUGGAGCUGCCAGCAGUGAUUCCAAAACCCCCCCC
rnacentral:lncRNA from 1 species